AAAAAUGUUGUUUUUCCCCUUGACAUGGAAAAUCUAUUGUCAAAUAUCGACUGCAGACGGGUGUCUUGAUAUGCUUUUGGAUUGAAGAGAAUUUCUUCUUUUUACCCCAAUAACAUGUUCGUAAGAACUAAACAAGAAAUGAGAGAAGAUCUUUGCUCAAAUAUUCGCCAGCUACUGUACGUACGUUGUAUCUUGUCAAUGGACGUGAUAAACUAUGUAAAAAUCGUUACUUUGACUGGCACAGAUUUUUUUGUGAUCAUGCACAAUUGUACAUAGUACCGCAAAACAGUUACG
rnacentral:sRNA from 1 species